rnacentral:rRNA from 1 species
UGCGUAGGCGGUUGGGUAAGUCAGAGGUGAAAUUCCGGGGCCCAACCUCGGAACUGCCUUUGAUACUGCCUGACUAGAGUACUGGAGAGGAGACUGGAAUUCACGGUGUAGCAGUGAAAUGCGUAGAUAUCGUGAGGAAGACCAGUGGCGAAGGCGAGUCUCUGGACAGUUACUGACGCUGAGGCACGAAGGCUAGGGGAGCAAACG